rnacentral:rRNA from 1 species
UGGGGAAUUUUGGACAAUGGGCGAAAGCCUGAUCCAGCAAUGCCGCGUGUGUGAAGAAGGCCUUCGGGUUGUAAAGCACUUUUGUCCGGAAAGAAAUCCUUGGCUCUAAUACAGUCGGGGGAUGACGGUACCGGAAGAAUAAGCACCGGCUAACUACGUGCCAGCAGCCGCGGUAAUACGUAGGGUGCAAGCGUUAAUCGGAAUUACUGGGCGUAAAGCGUGCGCAGGCGGUUUGCUAAGACCGAUGUGAAAUCCCCGGGCUCAACCUGGGAACUGCAUUGGCGACUGGCAGGCUAGAGUAUGGCAGAGGGGGGUAGAAUUCCACGUGUAGCAGUGAAAUGCGUAGAGAUGUGGAGGAAUACCGAUGGCGAAGGCAGCCCCCUGGGCCAAUACUGACGCUCAUGCACGAAAGCGUGGGGAGCAAACAGGAUUAGAUACCCUGGUAGUCCACGCCCUAAACGAUGUCAACUAGUUGUUGGGGAUUCAUUUCCUUAGUAACGUAGCUAACGCGUGAAGUUGACCGCCUGGGGAGUACGGUCGCAAGAUUAAAACUUAAAUGAAUUGACGGGGUCAUAGCUGUUUCCU